AGAAUCAACGCUGGCGGCGUGCCUAACACAUGCAAGUCGAACGAGAAAGUGGAGCAAUCCAUUAGUAAAGUGGCGCACGGGUGAGUAACACGUGACUAACCUACCCUUGAGUGGGGGAUAACCUAGGGAAACCUGGGCUAAUACCGCAUAAUACCUUCGGGUCAAAGGAGCAAUUCGCUUAAGGAGGGGGUCGCGGCCGAUUAGUUAGUUGGCGGGGUAAUGGCCCACCAAGACGAUGAUCGGUAUCCGGCCUGAGAGGGCGCACGGACACACUGGAACUGAAACACGGUCCAGACUCCUACGGGAGGCAGCAGUGGGGAAUUUUGCGCAAUGGGGGAAACCCUGACGCAGCAACGCCGCGUGGAGGAUGAAGCCCCUUGGGGCGUAAACUCCUUUCGAUCGGGACGAUAAUGACGGUACCGGAAGAAGAAGCCCCGGCUAACUUCGCGCCAGCAGCCGC
rnacentral:rRNA from 1 species